rnacentral:rRNA from 1 species
ACGCUGGCGGCGUGCCUAAUACAUGCAAGUCGAGCGAACGGAUAAGGAGCUUGCUCCUUUGAAGUUAGCGGCGGACGGGUGAGUAACACGUGGGUAACCUACCUAUAAGACUGGGAUAACUUCGGGAAACCGGAGCUAAUACCGGAUAACAUUUAGAACCGCAUGGUUCUAAAGUGAAAGAUGGUUUUGCUAUCACUUAUAGAUGGACCCGCGCCGUAUUAGCUAGUUGGUAAGGUAACGGCUUACCAAGGCGACGAUACGUAGCCGACCUGAGAGGGUGAUCGGCCACACUGGAACUGAGACACGGUCCAGACUCCUACGGGAGGCAGCAGUAGGGAAUCUUCCGCAAUGGGCGAAAGCCUGACGGAGCAACGCCGCGUGAGUGAUGAAGGGUUUCGGCUCGUAAAACUCUGUUAUUAGGGAAGAACAAAUGUGUAAGUAACUGUGCACAUCUUGACGGUACCUAAUCAGAAAGCCACGGCUAACUACGUGCCAGCAGCCGCGGUAAUACGUAGGUGGCAAGCGUUAUCCGGAAUUAUUGGGCGUAAAGCGCGCGUAGGCGGUUUCUUAAGUCUGAUGUGAAAGCCCACGGCUCAACCGUGGAGGGUCAUUGGAAACUGGGAAACUUGAGUGCAGAAGAGGAAAGUGGAAUUCCAUGUGUAGCGGUGAAAUGCGCAGAGAUAUGGAGGAACACCAGUGGCGAAGGCGACUUUCUGGUCUGUAACUGACGCUGAUGUGCGAAAGCGUGGGGAUCAAACAGGAUUAGAUACCCUGGUAGUCC